GAUGAGUAGGGCGGGACACGUGGUAUCCUGUCUGAAUAUGGGGGGACCAUCCUCCAAGGCUAAAUACUCCUGACUGACCGAUAGUGAACCAGUACCGUGAGGGAAAGGCGAAAAGAACCCCGGCGAGGGGAGUGAAAAAGAACCUGAAACCGUGUACGUACAAGCAGUGGGAGCACAGAGCAAUCUGUGUGACUGCGUACCUUUUGUAUAAUGGGUCAGCGACUUAUAUUCUGUAGCAAGGUUAACCGAAUAGGGGAGCCGAAGGGAAACCGAGUCUUAACUGGGCGUUAAGUUGCAGGGUAUAGACCCGAAACCCGGUGAUCUAGCCAUGGGCAGGUUGAAGGUUGGGUAACACUAACUGGAGGACCGAACCGACUAAUGUUGAAAAAUUAGCGGAUGACUUGUGGCUGGGGGUGAAAGGCCAAUCAAACCGGGAGAUAGCUGGUUCUCCCCGAAAGCUAUUUAGGUAGCGCCUCGUGAAUUCAUCUCCGGGGGUAGAGCACUGUUUCGGCAAGGGGGUCAUCCCGACUUACCAACCCGAUGCAAACUGCGAAUACCGGAGAAUGUUAUCACGGGAGACACACGGCGGGUGCUAACGUCCGUCGUGAAGAGGGAAACAACCCAGACCGCCAGCUAAGGUCCCAAAGUCAUGGUUAAGUGGGAAACGAUGUGGGAAGGCCCAGACAGCCAGGAUGUUGGCUUAGAAGCAGCCAUCAUUUAAAGAAAGCGUAAUAGCUCACUGGUCGAGUCGGCCUGCGCGGAAGAUGUAACGGGGCUAAACCAUGCACCGAAGCUGCGGCAGCGACACUAUGUGUUGUUGGGUAGGGGAGCGUUCUGUAAGCCUGCGAAGGUGUGCUGUGAGGCAUGCUGGAGGUAUCAGAAGUGCGAAUGCUGACAUAAGUAACGAUAAAGCGGGUGAAAAGCCCGCUCGCCGGAAGACCAAGGGUUCCUGUCCAACGUUAAUCGGGGCAGGGUGAGUCGACCCCUAAGGCGAGGCCGAAAGGCGUAGUCGAUGGGAAACAGGUUAAUAUUCCUGUACUUGGUGUUACUGCGAAGGGGGGACGGAGAAGGCUAUGUUGGCCGGGCGACGGUUGUCCCGGUUUAAGCGUGUAGGCUGGUUUUCCAGGCAAAUCCGGAAAAUCAAGGCUGAGGCGUGAUGACGAGGCACUACGGUGCUGAAGCAACAAAUGCCCUGCUUCCAGGAAAAGCCUCUAAGCAUCAGGUAACAUCAAAUCGUACCCCAAACCGACACAGGUGGUCAGGUAGAGAAUACCAAGGCGCUUGAGAGAACUCGGGUGAAGGAACUAGGCAAAAUGGUGCCGUAACUUCGGGAGAAGGCACGCUGAUAUGUAGGUGAAGCGACUUGCUCGUGGAGCUGAAAUCAGUCGAAGAUACCAGCUGGCUGCAACUGUUUAUUAAAAACACAGCACUGUGCAAACACGAAAGUGGACGUAUACGGUGUGACGCCUGCCCGGUGCCGGAAGGUUAAUUGAUGGGGUCAGCGCAAGCGAAGCUCUUGAUCGAAGCCCCGGUAAACGGCGGCCGUAACUAUAACGGUCCUAAGGUAGCGAAAUUCCUUGUCGGGUAAGUUCCGACCUGCACGAAUGGCGUAAUGAUGGCCAGGCUGUCUCCACCCGAGACUCAGUGAAAUUGAACUCGCUGUGAAGAUGCAGUGUACCCGCGGCAAGACGGAAAGACCCCGUGAACCUUUACUAUAGCUUGACACUGAACAUUGAGCCUUGAUG
rnacentral:rRNA from 1 species